rfam:Gossypium hirsutum cultivar TM-1 chromosome 17, whole genome shotgun sequence
UGGGGCGUGGCUAAGUGGUAAGGCAACGGGUUGUGGUCCCGCUAUGCGGAGGUUCGAAUCCUUCCGUCCCAA